AAAUGAAUUGACGGGGGCCCGCACAAGCGGUGGAGCAUGUGGUUUAAUUCGAUGCAACGCGAAGAACCUUACCAGGGCUUGACAUCCCUCUGACAGGCUUAGAGAUAGGCCCUCUCUUCGGAGCAGAGGAGACAGGUGGUGCAUGGCUGUCGUCAGCUCGUGUCGUGAGAUGUUGGGUUAAGUCCCGCAACGAGCGCAACCCUUGCCUUUAGUUGCCAUCAUUAAGUUGGGCACUCUAGAGGGACUGCCGGCGACAAGUCGGAGGAAGGUGAGGUUGACGUCAAGUCAUCAUGCCCCUGAUGUCCUGGGCUACACACGUGCUACAAUGGGUAGUACAGAGGGGAGCGAAAGGGCGACCUGGAGCAAAUCCCAAAAAGCUACUCUCAGUUCGGAUUGCAGUCUGCAACUCGACUGCAUGAAGUCGGAAUCGCUAGUAAUCUCGGGUCAGCAUACCGAGGUGAAUACGUUCCCGGGCCUUGCACACACCGCCCGU
rnacentral:rRNA from 1 species